rnacentral:rRNA from 1 species
CCAAUACUCCUACGGGAGGCAGCAGUGGGGAAUAUUGGACAAUGGGCGCAAGCCUGAUCCAGCGAUGCCGCGUGUGUGAAGAAGGCCUGCGGGUUGUAAAGCACUUUCAGUGGGGAGGAAAAGCGGGUGCCUAAUACGUGCCUGACUUGACGUUACCCACAGAAGAAGCACCGGCUAACUCCGUGCCAGCAGCCGCGGUAAUAGUAU